UGAUCACUUGGACAGCGGAAACAUAAUAUUGAAGAACAAACUUUGCGUACUACGCAGCAUACACAUGACUAAUUAAAAAGGUGUCAAAGGACUCCAAACUAGGAAAUCAAUCGACAUCUUCAUUCUCUCGAUCAAGACUAUCCUUUGAGAGGUUCCCAUUUGACAUCUGCCCCGUCCUGGCAACCGCGGAUGCACCAAGUAUUUAUGCAGGCACAGAAUGCGCAUUUCGCACAUACUGGUAAACAGUCAUCAUUAACCUCACAUCUUGGAAGAGGAGGUUUUCCCUCUGCUCUAAUCACCUGAUUUGAUGGUAGGAUCCCGGAAGCAAGAAUUGCAAGAAUUAAGAAAGAAAUGAGCCGCAUUGGAGAUCCCUUAAUGUAUUCCAAUUUUCGAAGGAUGUAGUAACGAAGAUGAUAAAGCAUGCUAUAUAUAAAAAAAAUUACUAACCUACAACUGUUUAUGUACUCAUGGAAGUUGUUUACUUACCUGUCACUAAAUAUUAUUUAUUAUUAAAUAUGAAAUAUAUGCAAAUAUAAAGUUUAUCUAAAAAAGAUUACUUACCUAUUAUUGUUUAUGUACUCAUGAAAGUUAUUUGCUUACCUAUCUUUAUGCAUUAUUUAUUAUUGAAAUCCUAAAUAUAUGCAAAUAGAAAGUUUAUCUAAAAGUGAUUACUUACCUAUUACUGUUUGUGGUUGGAUAUAUAUGAUGAGUAGGCUUGUCGAUAAAGUUCCCGAAAAGUAUGUGUGAAAGAGAACUAGUUUUUCGGGCAGCCAAUGCAGUGGUCAAUGCACUAGCCAACCUAGCCAGCUCCUCACAACGUGACUCGACAUUCUCGGCACCCCAGCUCCCUACCAACGCUCUCAAUCUGGCGCGUCUAGAUAGGAUCCAGCUCCCCUAUAUUCGAUUAGUUAAACCAUAGCUGGGUAGGAAGCCUGGCUUUACGCCUCCAUCAGUUGUAUUUCGCUUCAGAGAAAUAAAAAGAUCGCCCCUGGGUUAUUGAAAAAAAAAAAAGGCUUGUCGAUAAAGUUAUGCAAAUCGGGUUUUGACAUGCUCAUAAAUUUAUAUAAAAUACCAUUCUUUUGACCCCAAGCUCAAUAUAGCUAGGCUCCCUAGUUUGUAACUCAUACUCAGCUCACAAAAGAAAUUAGGUAAUGGUCUAAUUUGAGUAGGCCCAAAGUUACAUAAUAUAUCUUUCAUGUUAAUGAAAUCUAGUUAAACAAAAUUACCAGCUCACCUAUAAGCAAUCUGUGAUAUCUAAAUGAAGUCGCAACAUUAAAAAAAGUUUCGAUUGUUAUGACGAAAUGUAUUAUAUUUUACCAUAGCAUCCAUAAAUUUAUUGAUUAGAGAUAGAAAGAACACAAUUCCCAUAAAAUUAUUCAUUUAAAAUACAAUCAUUUUAGUACUUUAGUAAUGGGUACUAAAAUAUUACAAUCUAUUUUACAAUAUAUGUAAGGGAGGGGCCAAAUCCAUGCCUCUCCAAAGUAAAUCAGUAAAUCCACACCCCAUGUAUUCAUUGGACAACAAUACUUUCAUCUAUUAAAUUUAUUUGAUUCUUCUUAUAGUUCCAAGUACCAUAUGUUGACAAAACAAAAAAGGGCAAAAAUGUUAAUAUUUUCAAAUAAUUUACAAGUGCUUAAGAAUAUUAAUUUUUAAUUUGUUGCUUAAUUUAGAAAUCCAAUUUUUUCAAUUACAAAUGAGCAUGUAAAUAGUAAGGUCUGCGCAUUUAAAAUCUCUAAAAUUUAAAUCUCAAUAGUUUUCAAGAUGGAACAUGCAAUCAUAUUAACUUUUUCAUGCAAAUAUCUAUAAUUUGAUUAUGUAUAAAUUAGCAUUAAAAAUUCUUCAACAAAAUAAAAGUAGUAGGCUCAUAAAAGGAUAGAAGAAAAAUUAUUUUAAAGCAACUUCAAAAAAAAUAUUGGAAUGAUAUAUAUAAGAAAGAAAUUUCUCUAUAGAGCUAACAUAAAGACUAAAGGACAUAAUUUUUUUUCUUUAGAAAAGAUAUUAUUGUUUCUUUUUAUGGAUAACUUUUUUAUACAUUAUCGGUGUAUAAUUUUUUUUAAAACUAGCAAAGUUUAGAUCAUGGCACAUUACAUUAAUUUAAAUUUGAAAUUCAAAUCAUGCAUAUGUGACAUACAUCCAAAACUACUAAAAAGUAAAAUCACUACAUUGUUAGUGCAUAAAAACUUAAUCCUUUUUUUAUUGUUCUCUUCAUUAUGUAGAAAGAUAAUUUAAAUGCUAUAAAUGGUUUUGGUUUAAUGUAUAAAAUCUAACGGCAUUAAUGUCUAACAAAUGUAUAGGGUGAGUAUUUAGUAUGGAAAGGUGUGGAUUUAGUCCCUUACUAUAUAUGUCAUAAUAUAUAGGGUUAAUCACAUUUUAUCCCCUUAAAAAAUAUCUCAUUUCUUAGUUUACCCCCUAACCUUUAAUUUUGCUCACUUAACCCCCUUUAGGACAAAAUUGCCCUUGCAUUAUUUUGACUUUUCAUUUACCUUGUUUUCCUUUCUUUUAUUUCUUUUUCUCUUUCUUCUUUAUUUAAUUCUUCCUCUUUCCCACAAAAAUUUUCACCUUAAUGAUUGAAAUUAAAAAAAAGGAAUUGCAGAAAUCUAUCUUCUCCUUAAAUGAUUAAAAAAAUAUUUAUAUCACUUUCCUAAAAUACAAUUUUUUAGCCUUUCAAUUAUUUUAAUUUUGGGUUUUCCUCUUUCCUUUAUAGUUUCUCAUUUUAUUCUCAAGAAAAUAUCAUAAGAUGAAAUUGUUUUCCUUUCUUUUAUUUCUUUUUCUCUUUCUUCUCUCUUUCAUCCUUCCUAAUAGAAAAUUCCAUUUCAAUGAAAAUUUUUUAUUUAAGUUUGUAAUUGCAUAUUUCUGGGUGAAGGUUUAAAAGACAUCAAAAACUAAUUUUAAUUUUUUGUAUGAUGCCACGUGUCACGAAUUUCAAUUGAUGAUUAUUAAUCAGGUCACAAUUUCAUUUUAAGAUAUUUUCUUGGGAACAAAAUGAGAAACUAGAAAGGAAAAAGGAAAAUCUAAAAUUAAAAGAAUUGAAAGGCUAAAAAAAUUGUAUUUUAGGAAAGUGAUUUGAAUAUUUUUUUUAAUCAUUUAAGGAGAAGAUAAAUCUCUGUAAUUCCUCUUUUUUAAUUUCAAUCAUUAAGAUGAAGAUUUUUGUGGGAAAGAGGAAGAAUUAAAUAAAGAAGAAAGAGAAAAAGAAAAGAAAACAAGGUAAAUGAAAAGUCAAAAUAAUGCAAGGGCAAUUUUGUCCUAAAGGGGGUUAAGUGAGCAAAAUUAAAGGUUACGGGCUAAACUGAAAAAUGGAAUAUUCUUUAAGGGGAUAAAAUGUGAUUAACCCUAAUAUAUAUAUACAUAUGUAUAUAUGUAAUAUGCGUAUGUGUGUCUGUGUGUGAAGUAUCCCACCCAGACCGAGUGUAUUUGCGUGGAAUUUGGAUUUAAUUUCUUAAACCCAGACCCUUCCCAGAUCCAAACCCUAUAAAAGAGUUAUAGAUUUGGGUAGGGUCUGGUUUUCUAUGAUAUAUAUCCAAAUCCAAAUCCAUACCAGACCCUGCGCAGACCCAUAUAUAUGUAAUUAAAUUAUAUAUAUAUAUUAGUAAGUUUAUAAAAUAUUCUAAUGGUCAUUGGAUGGAAUACAGUGAGAUUUCAUGAUUGUUUUCUAUUUUCAAAUUAAUCUUAGUUGUCAUUGUAAUUAGUACAAACUUUUUCAGAAAAAAGAAAAAAAAGUAAAGGGAGAUAAAUAGAAGAUUGGAUGUAGAUAUAGUUGAAGUUUUUAAACUAAAUAGAAGCAAUCGAUAAUAGUUAUUUUUUUGAAUUCAUAAUAUUGCAUUCAACUUCUUGAAUAUUAAUUUUAUUAUUUAAAAAUAAAAAUUGGAUGAUGUUUAUAUAUUUUUUUGAAAUCUAUAUAUUUUUACUUUAGUGUGUUUUAAAAAUAUAAUGGAUGCCCAUUAGAUAUCCAGAUUCGGGAGGGUGUGGAUUUGAACUCAUUGUUUCAAACCUAUAAUAGUUUGGGCCUAGGUUUGGAUGUAACUAAAUUUAAUAUAUCUGAAUCUGAAUCAAACCCAAAUCCGACGUGUUGACAUGCCUAAUUCUAACCAAUGAUUCCCUGGUUCCCAUGGUCUUUGCUGUUUUUACAAAUUUGCAGUCCUUACUUUUUACUUCUAUCAUUAUUGUUGUUUUGGUUGGCAGGAGAGUGCCACAAAAAGAGGUCAGUUACACGAUUGCUCCAAAUGGUUCAAAUUUAUUCAUUGACGUCUACUAAUAGACAAUUAUUAUCAUUGAUACAUCCCUACGGGGCAUAAUUUAGGAUUAAUUAAAAUUUAACAAAGUAAAUAUGCUUUUUUAACAUUUUUCUCUUUAUCUGCAAAUGCAAAAAGGAGAACACCAGGGAUCGAACGGCUCUCACUUGACACCAGAAGUCACUUUUGACUCACGGUCUUUGUAGGCUUGAGGUCAUCCGUAGAAGUCUUGAUCGUUGGUUGGCAAUGAGAAUGGUCAAUGUUGGCGGCCACAUACAGGGAGUCUGAAUCAUCUGCAAUUAAAUUUGAACACCAAUUAUUUUUCAUAGAACUUGAUAAUUAAAUCUAUAAGUGGAGAAAUAUAAUUCAAAGAAAGUGAAAUCCUUAUUUGUUAACUAUUAUUAUUCAAUUACCAACUUGAUAAGCUGUUCCAUAGUGGUUUGUAAGAACUUGCCAGUUGCCAAUCCAUAGUAACAAGUUAAGUUAUUUACUUACCUAUAUAUAUAUAUAUAUAUGUAUUAUUUACUAUUUAAAUACUAAUUAUAUCCAAAUAGAAAGUUUAUGUAAAAAAGAUUACUUACCGAUUACUGUUUAUGUACUCAUGGGAGUUAUUUACUUACCUGUCACUAUAUAUUAUUUAUUAUUUAAAUAUGAAAUAUAUUCAAUUAGAAAGUUUAUCUAAAAAAGAUUACUUACAUAUUAUUGUUUGUGUACUCAUAAAAGUUAUUUACUUACCUAUCGUUAUAUAUUACUAGGUGGAUUUGCCCUGCUCUUCGUGCAGGGUUGCCCAUGAUUUGGUGAUGCUGUCUUUUUUUUGGCUCAUAUGUUUUAUGGUAAUAGGAAGAAUGUUAAAUGAUGCUAUUAUUUGGCUAGUAAAAAAGUUUAAUAAUAUUAUUAUCAAAUUAUUUAUUAAUGAAAAAAUAUUUAUUAUGCAAUUAUUUGCUAUAGUAUGCUUAUUAAUAGAAAUUACUAAGGAAAAAAGCACAGUGAAGAGAAAUAAAACAGAGGGAAAAUGGAAAAUAAUUGAAAAAUCAAAGAAGAUGAUAUUGAAUAAAAAAGAUAUUAUUAUUGUUAUGCUAUUGAAAUGAAGAAAUAGAUAAAUAAUGGAUAGAAAUAGUAGUGAUGAAAGUGUGCAAAGGACAUUAAAAUUGAUGGGAUUGUUUAAUUAUUUCAGAAAUGGAAAAGGGAAAAUAUCUGAAAUGCAGAGAAAUCUAAAUACAAAGGGAUUUGGAGUGGAAGUGGUAGUAAAUUAUUUCACUAAAUUUAAACAAGAGAAGGAAAAAAUCUGAAAUGUAGAGAAAUGUGGAGUAAAAUAUAUAAAAUAAAUUUUUUAAUCAUGAGCUCUGUAUUCAACUGGAGUUCAAUAUAUUCAAUUAUAAAUGAUUUAAUGUUUUUGUGAGGAAUUGAGAGGUAUUUGGAGCAUAAUUAACACUAAAUUGUUUAACUAAAUUCAAAGGAAAAAAAGGAAAAAUUUGAAUUUUAGAAAAAUUUGGAGUAAAAUCUAUGAGAUGAUUUUUUUAAUCACGCCAUGUUUAUUCAAUUGGAGUUCACCAUAUCCAAUAGAAAAGAUAUCAUUAUUAUUAUACUAUUAAAAUUAAGGGUGCGUUUGAUAAAACUAAAGUCUGAAAUUGAAAUCUAAAAUCUGAAAUCUAAAUCCAUUAAAUUAUUGAAUUGUUAAGUAUUAAAUCAAAUAUAUUUGAGCGUAUAUCAUAUUCAGUGAUAAGUGAAAAGCUUAUCACUUACUUUUGGGCAAUUCAGUGCCAUUUAAUUAAUUUAGAUGUUCAAUUUUUGGUUAUGAAAUGUGUCUAAACAUGUUAAGAUAUGAAUUCGUUAAGUUUAAGUGCUGAAUUGGAUUAUCAAAUAGGGCCUAAGUAAUAAACAAAUAAUAUGUGGAAACAAUAAUAGUAGAUUUGUCUAGAAAGUAUUGAAUAAGUGUCUAAUUAGGAGAUCCUUUUUUAAUAUAAAUAGAAAAUAUAUGGAACAAAAUUUAUAAAUUUGGAACAAAUUCCAUGGAAUCUUUUAUUGCACCAUUCAUUUAAUAACAUUAGUACAAAGUAAUCCAUUCAUCCCACUUUGAUAGUCUUUUUUUAAUCCGCCCUAAAUUAUAGUUCACAUUCCAACUAAAAAAUAUAAUUAAAUUGUAAUUUCUCUAAAAUAUCUUUAUUUAAUGUACUUUAUUAUUAAUGAGUAUAACUUACUUUAUUCAUUAAUUGCUUAGAUUCAUGGUUUGAAUGGUACAAUAUUUUAUAGUAGUGUUAUUGUAAUUAAUGUAAAGAUACAGUGAUUAGUUAUACUUCUAAUAUUAGUUUAAUGGUAUUUUAAGAAAAUAGCAGACCGGAUUUACAUUUUUAACAAAGUUAACCAGCUUUUCUUAUACUAUGUGCAAAAAAAAAAACUAUCAAAAUAGAACGGAGAGAGUAAUUAGGACACAAUUCAUCAAUCAAAAAGCUUUUCAAAGGAGCAAGUAGGAAAAAAUAAAUUCAUUCUUCCAUUGUCUAUGUGUAGUCAUUUCCAGCUGUUAAACGUUCUUUUUCUAUUAUCUAAAAGUCAUUGAAACAAUUGGAGCUCAACACAUUUGACAUAAAAAAAUAUUAGCAUAAUUAUAUUUUAGCAAUGAAGAAAUAAAUAGAUGGUGCAUAAUAAUAGUAAUAGUUAAUGUAUCCAAAGAGCAUUAAAUAGUGUCCAACCAAGGAAGUUUCUAUUUUUUCACUAAUAUAGAGGAAUUUGGAGUAAAAUGUAUCCUGAUUUUUUGUUAGAUUAUUAGAUUAUGUUCAUUAUAGCAAGCAUCUUUCACUAAUAUAGAGAAAUUUGGAACAAAAUUUAUCCUGGAAUUUUUCGUUACGCUAUGUUUAUUAAUACCAAUUAAUAGUUAGGGCAAAAGCCAUUUAAGGAGGGGAAAAACUCAUAGAAAUAGGCAGGAAAUAAUAAAUUUUGCUUUAUAUGUUGUUUGCUUAAUCACCUAUUGCUGUUAUUAUUUUUUGGCUAUUUAAAAGGAACACAAGUAAUUAAAGCUCACAAUUAUUUUUUACCAAAACUUUAUAUGUUGUUUGUUUAAUCAUCUAUUGCUAUUAUUACUUUUUGACUAUUUAAAAUGUAUGCAAGUAAUUAAAGCUCACCAUACUUCGCUUUCUUUUUCAGCAAUAUUGAAAAUAUUCGAACAAAUUUGGUAUUAAAAUAUUAAAUUGAAUUUGGAACAAAAUUAUACUAAUUUUUUUUUUUGAAUUUGUGCAAAAAUUGUUAUAUAAGUGGCCACUCAAGGGACCCUUUAUUAUUAUUAUUAUUUGGUCAGGAGUGUAGACAAAAUUCAGAGCAGAUUAUUUUGGUGAGGAAUGUAGACGAAAUUUGGGGCGGAACUCAUACUAAAAUGUUAAUCUAAAUUUAUAUUUUCCUAAUGGCUAAAAAAGAUAGUAUCAGCCCAAAAUUAGGCGCCAUGACUUUUUUCCAAUUUAUUAGGCUUAGGCCAUGGCAAACCAGGAACAAAUUGUGGCUCAUCAUGCAUUUUUUUUCUUUUUAAUUAGGCUUAGAUCAUGGAAAAAUCGAAAUAAACUGUGGUUUGGGGGCAUUAAAAAGCCACAUGUAGCACACAGGUGAAACACUAAAUGGGAGAGGGGAAAAAACAAAAGAAAGAAGCAGGUAGCAAGAGAAAUCUCCUGCCGAAAUUACUCCUAAGGCCGCACAAAAUCACCAAAGAACCUACGGAACAAGGAGGGAUGACCCUUUACUGUUCCUUAGCCUUUUGCUAUUUUAAUAGGUAGGAUUUAUUAUUUAAAUACUAAAUAUAUGCAAAUAGGAAAUUUAUGUAAACAAGAAUUUUUUAAUAGACAUGGCGGCGAGUACUUGGAUAGCUGAAACAUAAUAUUGAAGAACAAACUUCAUGUACAACACAACAUACACAUGACUAAUUAAAAAAAUAUCAAAGGACUCCAAAACUAAGAAAUCAAUCGACAUCUUCAUUCACUCGAUCAAGACUAUCCUUUGAGAGGUUCCCAUUUGACAUCUGCCCCGACCUGGCAACCAGGGACGCACCAAAGUAUUGUAGCAGAGACAGAAUUUGCAUGUCCCGCAUACUGGUAAACAGUCAUCAUUAACCUCACAUCUUGGAAGAGGAGGUUUUC
rnacentral:lncRNA from 1 species